rnacentral:snoRNA from 1 species
AGAUGAUGACGAUUUCAACAAUGAAAGGUUUUACUCGUCGUAAUCGGUUGUUAUUCAGCCGCCGUUGCCGCCAUCCUAUCAUAUCACCACCUAUUUUCUGAGUCC